CGCGGCGGCGCGGCCUUUGAAGUCGGCGGUUGCCGCUUUCAUCCUUUCUUUUUUCCCUUGCAGGCCCCUUUGUGUGACUAAAUUUGGAGAGAAUAUGAAUCCGAGCCAGUCUUUCCACGUGUGCUCCCAGCUCCCAGCUGAGAAGGCCAAGGGUUCUCUUCCGGUGCUCAGGGAAAGUGCCUGACUGACAGCACCGACAUCCAGCGCCCAGGAAACACGGCGACACUGGCACAGCCAAGCGUGGAGGGGAACAAUUUUCCAGUGAGUCCCAUCAAAGCGAAAAAGCCGGCCUGGGGGGCUAGGACGGAGCCUCCUUCCCAUGACCUGGCUUUGGGGACCUUGUGACUGAUGAGCAUUUGUUUUUAUCUGAAGCUGGUGGCUGCUUUAAAUCUGUAUUUGCUUUUCAGGGGAGGGGCUCGCCCUACACAGGGGAACGUUUGACCUGAGGGUGCUGCCUUUUUGAAGCACUUCUGUGUGCAGAAAGACUCCUGGGGGAAGUUAUUUUCACCAAUAAUACGUUCAUCCAGAACACCGGCUGGCUUCUAGUGCUUUCCCUGGCUGCAGAGCUGUGUCUCAGCUCGAGUGAGUGACCUGGGGGUGAAUUCGGAGGCUGAGCACAGAGAGGCAAAGAGUUUAGGCUACAAAAUUGUCAUCUGGCUCAACAAAACACUUUUUGUGUGUGUGACAAAAAUAAGGCUGAUUUGCUUUAUCUGAAUUUGAUGUAAUGGUCCUGCAGGCCCCGGCUGGCAGUCC
rnacentral:lncRNA from 1 species